AGCGCUGAUGGCCUGCUCCUGUGAUCUCAUAGCAUUGUGUCAAGGAGCAGGUGGAGAGGGAGAAAGAGAAAGGGAGAAUGGAAGCCAAGUGAUAGACAAAGAGAGUGAAAGCUUCUGUUGAAUUCUCAUGGUUGGAGAUACUGCAAGAAUUCUGAUUCGGCACGGCCCUCAUGGAGACAAUGGAGAUGGUGUUCAGCGGUGCGCUCAGCCAGAGUUCGCCUUUCCUGCAAAACGUCCGACAUUUGCUGAUUCGGCAGGGCCCUCAUGGAAACAAAUUCAGGGCGCAGAGAAACUAAUGGAGCAACCAGGAGUCCAAUCAUUUGAAGGCAGAACAUUGAACAUAUCAGUGAUCGGACACUCGAGACAACUCUUAAUGAGUUCUAGCAACCGAAGACAGAAUAUUUGCGUAGGAUGCAACAAAGCUGCAUGUCAUGAGAUUAUUGAAUGCGUUGAGUAAUUUGGAAUGGAAACAUUUUUGGUUAAAUAGGAUGCUCUUGAGAUUAUUUCUCAUGCCAACAUGGCAUGCCCGAGCGAAAAAUGUGC